rnacentral:rRNA from 1 species
AGGAAAAGAAACCAACAGGGAUUACCUCAGUAACGGCGAGUGAAGCGGUAACAGCUCAAAUUUGAAAUCUGGCCGCAAGGUCCGAGUUGUAAUUUGUAGAGGAUGUUUCGAGCAUGGUCCGGCCUAAGUUCCUUGGAACAGGACGUCAUAGAGGGUGAGAAUCCCGUAUGCGGCCGGGUGCCUACGCUCAUGUGAAACUCCUUCGACGAGUCGAGUUGUUUGGGAAUGCAGCUCAAAAUGGGUGGUAAAUUUCAUCUAAAGCUAAAUAUUGGCCAGAGACCGAUAGCGCACAAGUAGAGUGAUCGAAAGAUGAAAAGCACUUUGGAAAGAGAGUUAAACAGUACGUGAAAUUGUUGAAAGGGAAGCGCUUGCAACCAGACUUGCGCGCGGCUGAUCAUCCGGGCUUCUGCCCGGUGCACUCGGUCGCGCUCAGGCCAGCAUCGGUUUUGGUGGCGGGAUAAAGGCCUUGGGAAUGUAGCUCCUCUCGGGGAGUGUUAUAGCCCAGGGUGCAAUGCCGCCUACCGGGACCGAGGACCGCGCUUCGGCUAGGAUGCUGGCGUAAUGGUUGUAAGCGACCCG